rnacentral:rRNA from 1 species
CCCUUAGAUGUCCUGGGCCGCACGCGCGCUACACUGAGUGUCUGAGAUACGAGUCUGCCUGGUCCGGCAAGGUCUAGGUAAUCGCUAAAAGACACAUCAUGCUUGGGAUAGAUUAUUGCAAAUAUUAAUCUUGAUCGAGGAAUUCCUAGUAAGCGCAAGUCAACAGCUUGCGUUGAUUACGUCCCUGCCCUUUGUACACACCGCCCGUCGCUACUACUGAUUGGAUGUUUAAGCGAGGUUCUCGAACUGCUAGCGACUUAGCUUCGGUGAGGUCGCAGUGUGGGAAGUGAACCUAGCUUUGGUGUCUAGAGGAAGUAAAAGUCGUAACA